GACGAACGCUGGCGGCGUGCUUAACACAUGCAAGUCGAACGGAAAGUCCCUUCUUUUGUUGGGUUCUCGUGUGGCGAACGUGUGUGUAACAUGUGAGUAUCCUGCCCUUGACUUUGGCAUAACUUCAGGAAACUUGCUCUAAUAUCGUAUUGGAUUUCUUGCUGCUUGUUGGGUUUUGGAAACUUUCGGCGGUUGGGGAUGGAGUGGCGUCUUAUCAGCUUGUUGGUGGGGUAGUGGCUUACCAAGGCUUUGAUGGGUAGCCGGGCUGAGAGGGUGACCGGGGACAUAGGGACUGAGAGACGGCCCAGACUCCUACGGGAGACAGCAGUGGGGAAAAUAGCAGAAUGGGCGGAAGCAUGAUGCAGCAACGCCGCGGGCGGGAUGAAGGCGUUCGGGUUGAAAAAAGCUUUCGCCUGUGACGAAGCGUGAGUGACGGUAAUGGGUAAAGAAGCACCGGCUAACUACGUG
rnacentral:rRNA from 1 species